ensembl:lncRNA
UGAAGUCAACCAAUCAUCACAGACACAGUUUACAUUUCUGUUGUGGAUUUGUUCUGUUUCAUGUUUCUUGACGAUAGCUGUCCAGAAAUGUUCCUAAUAUUUUUAUUUCUGUACACCAAGGUCGAUGUUCUUCCUUGACUGGGACUCUUCAUCCAAUCCAAACUCACAAACACAACAAACCACACAACUGUCUGCAGAGCGGUAAAUCUGCUGCAGCGGGGAUGAGUGACGGGAGGGGCUGGCUGCUUCCAGGGGGGUCAGCUGGUCCAGAAGGAAAGAAAGGCCUGCUCCCAGUCCCCGAGCACCCCAAGGGUCAACAGGACCCCACACCCUCGACACGAACCCCGCCCAGACCCAAUCGGACCUCCGCAUGCUGCUCGGUAAUCACCUGGGCUGGACCUCAGUGUAACAGAUCCCAGGUUCUCUGCAGGAGGGAGGUCAGCUUCUACAUGAUGCAGUAAGAGACCAGAUAGAGACCAGAUAUGGGCCCCAUAGAGAGCAGAUAGAGGCCCAAUAUAGGCCAGAUAAAGACCAGAUAGAGAAAAGAUAGAGACCAGCUAGAGGCCUGAUAGAGACCAUAUAGAGACCAGAUAGAGGGAUGGCCAAGACCUGAUAGAGACCAGAUAGAGGCCGAAUAGAGACCUUAUAGACACCAGAUAAAGGCCUGAUAGAGACCAGAUAAAGACCCAACAUACAUAUACCCCCAAAAGCGGUAUUAAGAUUAGAGGGAAUUGCAGUUUGAGUUCAGUUUCCACAACUCGUGAUGUAUAUGUAUUUAUAUAUGUAUGUAUAAACCUGUAUUUAUAUAAGUAGAUAUACAUGCAUAUUUAUAUACACACACAUUCAGUGUACCAAGCUGCUCUCAGAGGUGAAGAGGUUGUGAGGCCUGAAAGAGUUCAUUUAAAACUAAAUUUACGAUCUGAACUUCGUCUCCGUCUCGUUUUACCGCCGAGCGUCCCGUCAGCGGGAUCCACCCAACCCGCCCGAGCAGGUGUCUCCAUCU